ensembl:lncRNA
GCUCUGCCGUGACGUCAGCGCGCGGUGACGUCAUCGCGCGCCCGCCGGACGAGCGAGGAGGAGAAGACGGCGGAGACGGCGGGAGAGGGAACGGCGCGAUGGCGCCCCCUGGCGGUAGAAGGGGGGAACGGACCGCCGUGGGAGGACUCCCGGAUAAGAGGGAGUGGGCUGAGGGGGGGGGAGUCACAAUAAAUAGAUAGAUAGAUAGAUAGAUAGAUAGAUAGAUAGAUAGAUAGAUAGAUAGAUAGAUAGAUAGAUAGAUAGAUAGACAGACAGACAGACAGACAGAUAGGUAGGUAGGUAGACAGAUAGAUAAGAGGUAGAUAGAUAGAUAGAUAGAUAGACAGAUAGAUAAGAGGUAGAUAGAUAGAUAGAUAGACAGACAGACAGAUGAUAGGUAGAUAGGUAGGUAGGUAGAUACAUAGAUAGGUAGGUAGGUAGGUAGGUAGAUAGAUAAAUGAAAGGAUGAAAGAAUGAAUAAAGAAGCUUAACCCCACGAUUCCCUGAUUCUGUAAUAAAUAAAUAAAUGGAAUCAUAGGAUGGAUUGGGUUGGAAGGGACCAACCCCCCCCCAGACCCUCACGGAGUCCCGCAUGGCCGGGUGUAAGGUCCUGCGCUUGGGUCAGGGCAACCCCAAGCACAGAUAUGGGUUGGGUGGGGGAUGGUUUGAGGGCAGCCAAAUAAAGGGAUUAAGCAUUCAUCCCCGUGGGGAGAGGAGGGGUGGGAGGGUCAGCACCCCCAGCUCAGCCAAUACGGUGCUCCCGAGGGCCGCAUCCAGCGCUGAUGUGGGAGGGCUGAGUGCUCUGCAAUGGGCGCUGCAGCUCAUCCUGCCCCGCUGUCCGUCUGUCCGUCCAUCCACGCAGUGCUGAGGGGCUCCGGUUCCCACGCGGGACCCCCAUUUCCCACCCUGUCCCCCCCAGAUCCGUCAAUGGGGGUACACACGUGUGCCUCCCCCCCACUGCUCGUCCCCCCGCCAGCCCCGCAGCGACAAAACCCACCGAGGGAGCAGCGGUGAGGCUCACAUUUUUCCCGUUAACCAAAACCGCUCUGUCUGACCGCAGGUCGAGCCCGGGCCGGUCCUCGCUCGAGGCAACCCGUCAUCCCGUCGGGGUGGCCGGGAUCGGUCCG